rnacentral:piRNA from 1 species
UAGCAACAAGGAAAGAGAUUUGCAUUCCAA